GAAAGACAGGGAUUCCAGCGGAGAAACCUGACGGGGAGCGGUUUUCAGCCGGCCACUCCCAACCUUCCAUCCUCCCUUCCGGCGCCCAGUGGGAAGGACUCACAAUUUCUCAAGCUGGAUAAUGAAGCUACACGGUGACAGCCUGACCCAGGGAGCUGGAAGGUCGCCCUCUCCCCGUUUGCUCCCUGCCCCCUCUCAUUGCUGAUUUAAAGAUGCUAGUGUUGAGACUUCCCUGGUGGCG